AUGAACGCUAGCGGCGUGCCUCAUACAUGCCAGUCGAGCGAACAGAUGAGGAGCUUGCUCCUCUGACGUUAGCGGCGGACGGGUGAGUAACACGUGGAUAACCUACCUAUAAGACUGGGAUAACUUCGGGAAACCGGAGCUAAUACCGGAUAAUAUAUUGAACCGCAUGGUUCAAUAGUGAAAGACGGUUUUGCUGUCACUUAUAGAUGGAUCCGCGCCGCAUUAGCUAGUUGGUAAGGUAACGGCUUACCAAGGCGACGAUGCGUAGCCGACCUGAGAGGGUGAUCGGCCACACUGGAACUGAGACACGGUCCAGACUCCUACGGGAGGCAGCAGUAGGGAAUCUUCCGCAAUGGGCGAAAGCCUGACGGAGCAACGCCGCGUGAGUGAUGAAGGUCUUCGGAUCGUAAAACUCUGUUAUUAGGGAAGAACAAAUGUGUAAGUAACUAUGCACGUCUUGACGGUACCUAAUCAGAAAGCCACGGCUAACUACGUG
rnacentral:rRNA from 1 species